CAAGUACUCCCUCCAUCCGGAAUUACUUGUCAUCAAAAUGGAUGUGUCUAGAACUAAAAUACAUCUAGAUACAUCCAUUUCAACGACAAGUAUUUUCGGACGGAGGGAGCAGAAG
rnacentral:pre_miRNA from 1 species